UACGGAGGGUGCGAGCGUUGUUCGGAAUUACUGGGCGUAAAGGGCGCGUAGGCGGCUUGAUAAGUCAGAUGUGAAAGUCCACGGCUCAACCGUGGAAGUGCAUUUGAAACUGUCUCGCUUGAGUAUUGGAGGGGAAAGUGGAAUUCCCGGUGUAGAGGUGAAAUUCGUAGAGAUCGGGAGGAACACCUGUGGCGAAGGCGACUUUCUGGACAAAUACUGACGCUGAGGCGCGAAAGCGUGGGGAGCAAACAGG
rnacentral:rRNA from 1 species